GCAGUAGUGGUUCAGUGGUAGAACUCUUGCCUUCCAUGGCAGGAGACCCAGGUUCAAUUCCAAGCCAAUGCA
rnacentral:tRNA from 1 species